rnacentral:snRNA from 1 species
UCAUGACAUUGUAGGUGCUUGCG